rnacentral:tRNA from 1 species
GUCUGGGUGGCUAAGUCGGUUGAGUGUCUGACUUCAUCUCAGGUCAUGAUCUCACAGUUCAUGGGUUCGAUCCCCAACUCGGGCU